rnacentral:rRNA from 1 species
GUCCACGCCGUAAACGUUGGGCGCUAGGUGUGGGCCACAUUCCACGUGGUCUGUGCCGCAGCUAACGCAUUAAGCGCCCCGCCUGGGGAGUACGGCCGCAAGGCUAAAACUCAAAGGAAUUGACGGGGGCCCGCACAAGCGGCGGAGCAUGCGGCUUAAUUCGAUGCAACGCGAAGAACCUUACCUGGGUUUGACAUGUAGGGAAAUCUCGUAGAGAUACGAGGUCCGUAAGGGCCUUGCACAGGUGGUGCAUUGCUGUCGU